rnacentral:rRNA from 1 species
UACGUAGGGGGCAAGCGUUGUCCGGAAUCAUUGGGCGUAAAGAGCGCGUAGGCGGCCCUGUAAGUCCGCUGUGAAAGUCAAGGGCUCAACCCUUGGAUGCCGGUGGAUACUGCAGGGCUAGAGUCCGGAAGAGGCGAGUGGAAUUCCUGGUGUAGCGGUGAAAUGCGCAGAUAUCAGGAGGAACACCGAUGGCGAAGGCAGCUCGCUGGGACGGUACUGACGUGCUGAGGAAGC